rnacentral:rRNA from 1 species
GUUGGGUAGGGGAGCGUUCUGUAAGCCUGUGAAGGUGGCCUGUGAGGGUUGCUGGAGGUAUCAGAAGUGCGAAUGCUGACAUAAGUAACGAUAAAGCGGGUGAAAAGCCCGCUCGCCGGAAGACCAAGGGUUCCUGUCCAACGUUAAUCGGGGCAGGGUGAGUCGACCCCUAAGGCGAGGCCGAAAGGCGUAGUCGAUGGGAAACGGGUUAAUAUUCCCGUACUUGGUGUUACUGCGAAGGGGGGACGGAGAAGGCUAUGUUGGCCGGGCGACGGUUGUCCCGGUUUAAGCGUGUAGGUGUGUGUUCCAGGUAAAUCCGGUUCACUUUAACACUGAGGCGUGAUGACGAGGCACUACGGUGCUGAAGCAACAAAUGCCCUGCUUCCAGGAAAAGCCUCUAAGCAUCAGGUAACAUCAAAUCGUACCCCAAACCGACACAGGUGGUCAGGUAGAGAAUACCAAGGCGCUUGAGAGAACUCGGGUGAAGGAACUAGGCAAAAUGGUGCCGUAACUUCGGGAGAAGGCACGCUGACACGUAGGUGAAGUGAUUUACUCAUGGAGCUGAAGUCAGUCGAAGAUACCAGCUGGCUGCAACUGUUUAUUAAAAACACAGCACUGUGCAAACACGAAAGUGGACGUAUACGGUGUGACGCCUGCCCGGUGCCGGAAGGUUAAUUGAUGGGGUCAGCGCAAGCGAAGCUCCUGAUCGAAGCCCCGGUAAACGGCGGCCGUAACUAUAACGGUCCUAAGGUAGCGAAAUUCCUUGUCGGGUAAGUUCCGACCUGCACGAAUGGCGUAAUGAUGGCCAGGCUGUCUCCACCCGAGACUCAGUGAAAUUGAACUCGCUGUGAAGAUGCAGUGUACCCGCGGCAAGACGGAAAGACCCCGUGAACCUUUACUAUAGCUUGACACUGAACAUUGAGCCUUGAUGUGUAGGAUAGGUGGGAGGCUUUGAAGCGUGGACGCCAGUCUGCGUGGAGCCGACCUUGAAAUACCACCCUUUAAUGUUUGAUGUUCUAACGUGGACCCGUGAUCCGGGUUGCGGACAGUGUCUGGUGGGUAGUUUGACUGGGGCGGUCUCCUCCUAAAGAGUAACGGAGGAGCACGAAGGUUGGCUAAUCCUGGUCGGACAUCAGGAGGUUAGUGCAAUGGCAUAAGCCAGCUUGACUGCGAGCGUGACGGCGCGAGCAGGUGCGAAAGCAGGUCAUAGUGAUCCGGUGGUUCUGAAUGGAAGGGCCAUCGCUCAACGGAUAAAAGGUACUCCGGGGAUAACAGGCUGAUACCGCCCAAGAGUUCAUAUCGACGGCGGUGUUUGGCACCUCGAUGUCGGCUCAUCACAUCCUGGGGCUGAAGUAGGUCCCAAGGGUAUGGCUGUUCGCCAUUUAAAGUGGUACGCGAGCUGGGUUUAGAACGUCGUGAGACAGUUCGGUCCCUAUCUGCCGUGGGCGCUGGAGAACUGAGGGGGGCUGCUCCUAGUACGAGAGGACCGGAGUGGACGCAUCACUGGUGUUCGGGUUGUCAUGCCAAUGGCACUGCCCGGUAGCUAAAUGCGGAAGAGAUAAGUGCUGAAAGCAUCUAAGCACGAAACUUGCCCCGAG